UACAGAGGUCUCAAGCGUUGUUCGGAUUCAUUGGGCGUAAAGGGUGCGUAGGCGGCGCGGUAAGUCGGGUGUGAAAUCUCGGGGCUUAACUCCGAAACUGCAUUCCAUACUGCGGUGCUCGAGGACUGGAGAGGAGACUGGAAUUCAUGGUGUAGCAGUGAAAUGCGUAGAGAUCAUGAGGAAGACCAGUGGCGAAGGCGGGUCUCUGGACAGUUCCUGACACUGAGGCACGAAGGCCAGGGGAGCAAACGGG
rnacentral:rRNA from 1 species